AGAAAAAAAAACUAAACUACUACUACAUUGCUACUACACUACUAUUACUAUAUACACACACACGGGAAACAAGAAAAAAAAACUAAACUACUACUACAUUGCUACUACACUACUAUUACAUAUUAUAUAUAUGCACAAAACACACUACCACUACCACUAUUAUAUAUUAUAUAUAAAACACAAACACACACACGGCUAAGGAGGAAAACGACGGAAGAAAAGAAAAAAAGAAAGGCAAACAAGUUAAACUUCAAGUUUAUCGUCCACGGUUUCAAGUUCGUGACUCCUAGAAUCCGUAGAUUGUAAUAAUUUUAUCGUUGGGAAUCGGUCUUCUCAAAGGUAUAUCUCAAUCAUCCUUGUACAAUUCUAUAUUGCAAUUAUUCAAAGACUCGGUUUCAAUGUUUUAUGAAGUUUUUUUUNNNNN
rnacentral:lncRNA from 1 species